CCCGCCGCGGCGGGGGCGGCUCCGCUCGGCGCUGCGCGACCCGCGGGCGUCUCGAGACACCGGCAUCUCCUCACGGCCGCCAUCCCCGCGCCCCGCCUGCAUCCCCUCACGGCCGGCAUCCCUGCCCCCCACGCCAUCUCCUCACGGCCGCCAUCCCCCCGACCCCCGCCAUUCCCGCGCCCCGCCGGCAUCCCCCGCACCGUUAGUAUCCCCGUGCUGUACCCGGACCUGCGGCGGGAGGUCAGGGUUGGCGAGGGCUGCUGCGCCCCGGGAGCGGGACCGCCUUGUGAGGGGGAAAAACAAACCCUUGGCAGGUGUUUGCGUAGGACACUUAGGUGUGAGCAGUGAACGCCUGGAAAAGGCGUGAGGGAUCGAUGGCAGGGGAUUCUGAGGGGACACCUGAGGCAGCCCGUGCCGUGCUCUGCAGCCGCCCCGAUGCCGUGGUGCCGGCACCGCCAGGGUACACGUGGUGAAUAGUGCCCUGCAUUGUACGUGCUCGAGUGAUCACGGAAAGAGUGGUCAUCUCCUGUCACCCAUCCCUGUCCUAAUAACAGAUGACCCCAAGUCAGCAGAAAACAGAGAGAAUUUCUUCCUUUACUUCUCUUUGCCUAAAAGGAUAUCCCCACCUUGUUUGUGCUGAAGAGGAACCCUCACUGCAGCUCAGGUGAUGUGCAUUUUCCACCAUGAGACCCUCAUCAGGAACAAAACUGAGCGUUGCAUCAGACCUUCCUCCUGCACACCUCAGUCAAGAUUUAGAAAAUUAUGUCUCAGGAGCUUCUACCUCUCUGAAUGUUAAUUUCCUCAUCUUUUCAUAUAGCCUGCUUAGAGGCUAAGUGAUUUAACCUGUUCAAUAUAGAAAGUCUUCUUUUUCAAAAUUAAACAUAGCUGUGUUGCAGGAAGUCCCUGUGUGAUUCCUGGGGCAUGUGACAGACAAUCAUAUUGUGGCCAGUACAUCCAGACCCACUCCACAGCAAGCCUACAAGAAAGUCAAGUGGCUGCUUUCUCAGAAGAUGUCCUUGUGAUAACUG